rnacentral:rRNA from 1 species
GAAGAAGGCUGGGGGCGUGCUUAACACAUGCAAGUCGAACGGAAAGGCCCUGCUUUUGUGGGGUGCUCGAGUGGCGAACGGGUGAGUAACACGUGAGUAACCUGCCCUUGACUUUGGGAUAACUUCAGGAAACUGGGGCUAAUACCGGAUAGGAGCUCCUGCUGCAUGGUGGGGGUUGGAAAGUUUCGGCGGUUGGGGAUGGACUCGCGGCUUAUCAGCUUGUUGGUGGGGUAGUGGCUUACCAAGGCUUUGACGGGUAGCCGGCCUGAGAGGGUGACCGGCCACAUUGGGACUGAGAUACGGCCCAGACUCCUACGGGAGGCAGCAGUGGGGAAUAUUGCACAAUGGGCGGAAGCCUGAUGCAGCAACGCCGCGUGCGGGAUGACGGCCUUCGGGUUGUAAACCGCUUUCGCCUGUGACGAAGCGUGAGUGACGGUAAUGGGUAAAGAAGCACCGGCUAACUACGUG